UGCCCUAGAUUCAUGUUUGUCAUAGCCAGAGGACUGACCUGAGCUAGACCCAUGUUGUCCAAAUCCAGAGGACUGACCUAAGCCAGAUCCAUGUUGGCCAAAACAAGAGGAUUGCCCUGAGCUAGAACCAUGUUGACCAAAGCUAGACUGCACUGAGCCAGACUCAUGUUUCCCAAA